GAUGAAGAACGCAGCGAAAUGCGAUAAGUAGUGUGAAUUGCAGAAUUCAGUGAAUCAUCGAAUCUUUGAACGCACAUUGCGCCCCUUGGUAUUCCAUGGGGCAUGCCUGUUCGAGCGUCAUUUGUACCCUCAAGCUUUGCUUGGUGUUGGGUGUUUGUCUCGCCUCUGCGUGUAGACUCGCCUUAAAACAAUUGGCAGCCGGCGUAUUGAUUUCGGAGCGCAGUACAUCUCGCGCUUUGCACUCAUAACGACGACGUCCAAAAGUACAUUUUUACACUCUUGACCUCGGAUCAGGUAGGGAUACCCGCUGAACUUAAGCAUAUCAAUAAGCGGAGGA
rnacentral:misc_RNA from 1 species